rnacentral:rRNA from 1 species
UACAGAGGGUGCAAGCGUUUGUUCGGAAUUAUUGGGCGUAAAGCGCGUGUAGGCGGCAUGGCAAGUCGGGUGUGAAAGCCCUCAGCUUAACUGAGGAAGUGCGCCCGAAACUGCCGUGCUUGAGUGCCGGAGAGGGUGGCGGAAUUCCCCCAAGUAGAGGUGAAAUUCGUAGAUAUGGGGGAGGAACACCGGUGGCGAAGGCGGCCACCUGGACGGUAACUGACGCUGAGACGCGAAAGCGUGGGGAGCAAACAGG